GCUCUCCUUUCUUUCUUACAACCCAUCUUAGUUUUAGGACAAGGCUUUAGGAUUUAUGACAAAGCCUAAUCAGGUCUAGACAAGGGUUGUAAAGGUCAUAAAGAAAAGAAUUCAAAAGUUCAAAGAAGGUUCUAAGAGGGUCGAGUUAGGUUCUUAGAGAAAUCUGAUCGAUACGAGGCUAGUCGAGUUCUAAAGGCUAGAACUCUUGAA
rnacentral:lncRNA from 1 species